rnacentral:rRNA from 1 species
UACAGAGGGUGCGAGCGUUAAUCGGAAUUACUGGGCGUAAAGCGUGCGUAGGCGGCUAUCUAAGUCGGGUGUGAAAGCCCCGGGCUCAACCUGGGAAUUGCAUUCGAGACUGAAUAGCUAGGGUGCGGUAGAGGGAAGCGGAAUUUCCGGUGUAGCGGUGAAAUGCGCAGAUAUCAGGAAGAACACCAAUGGCGAAGGCAGCUCUCUGGGACGGUACUGACGCUGAGACGCGAAAGCGUGGGGAGCGAACAGG